rnacentral:rRNA from 1 species
UACGGAGGGUGCGAGCGUUAAUCGGAAUAACUGGGCGUAAAGGGCGCGCAGGCGGGCUUUUAAGUGAGAUGUGAAAUCCCCGGGCUUAACCUGGGAAUGGCAUGUGAGACUGGGAGUCUAGAGUGCUUUAGGGAGGGGUAGAAUUCCACGUGUAGCGGUGAAAUGCGUAGAGAUGUGGAGGAAUACCGAAGGCGAAGGCAGCCCCUUGGGAGUGUACUGACGCUCAUGUGCGAAAGCGUGGGGAGCAAACAGG